rnacentral:rRNA from 1 species
UACGGGGGGGGCAAGCGUUGUUCGGAAUUACUGGGCGUAAAGGGCUCGUAGGCGGCCAACUAAGUCAGACGUGAAAUCCCUCGGCUUAACCGGGGAACUGCGUCUGAUACUGGAUGGCUUGAGUUUGGGAGAGGGAUGCGGAAUUCCAGGUGUAGCGGUGAAAUGCGUAGAUAUCAGGAGGAACACCGGUGGCGAAGGCGGGUCUCUGGGCCGAUACUGACGCUGAGGAGCGAAAGCAUGGGUAGCGAACAGG